rfam:Erinaceus europaeus unplaced genomic scaffold scaffold00314, whole genome shotgun sequence
GUGCUCACUUCUGCAGCACAUACAUUAAAACUGAAAUGAUACACAGAAGAUUAUUAGCAUGGCUCCUGCCUAAAGAUGACAUGCAAAUAUGUGAAGUGACAAGUUUGCCU